GACGAACGCUGGCGGCGUGCUUAACACAUGCAAGUCGAACGGAAAGGCCCUGCUUUUGUGGGGUGCUCGAGUGGCGAACGGGUGAGUAACACGUGAGUAACCUGCCCUUGACUUUGGGAUAACUUCAGGAAACUGGGGCUAAUACCGGAUAGGAGCUCCUGCUGCAUGGUGGGGGUUGGAACGUUUCGGCGGUUGGGGAUGGACUCGCGGCUUAUCAGCUUGUUGGUGGGGUAGUGGCUUACCAAGGCUUUGACGGGUAGCCGGCCUGAGAGGGUGGCCGGCCACAUUGGGACUGAGAGACGGCCCAGACUCCUACGGGAGGCAGCAGUGGGGAAUAUUGCACAAUGGGCGGAAGCCUGAUGCAGCAACGCCGCGUGCGGGAUGACGGCCUUCGGGUUGUAAACCGCUUUCGCCUGUGACGAAGCGUGAGUGACGGUAAUGGGUAAAGAAGCACCGGCUAACUACGUG
rnacentral:rRNA from 1 species